CCCUCAUUUGAAAGCUGAAAAGGGUGAGAAGAAGGCAAAUAAUGCAAAAAUGAGAAGAAGAAAAAUUAAAGCUUACUGAAGAGUUGCUUAGACUUAGCUAUUCUGUAACAUACUAAAUGUUAACUGAAAGAAGAAUAAAUGGAGAGCAGAAUAGCAAAUUGAAUAAAGCAUGAGGAUGAAGGGAGGAGAAAUGGAGGGCGAUCUGAUCAGUGAGAUUGGGAAAGAAAAGCAAAAUGGAGGAGAGAAGAUAUGAAGUAGGGGAAGGAAGUUUGGGGCAGGGACAGCAGUCAUUUGUCACUGUUCCAUUAUCUACACUUAACUCAUAGUGUGGGGAUCAGGUAGGAUGGAGGGAAACUGAAAUUCACCCUUUGGACUAUUCAUUCUUCAUGUGGCUGAGCUCUGGCCUUAAAGCAGAGGUGGCUCAGAACUGACAGCAACUUUCAUUGAAACUACUUUGGUCAUCACCAAUGAAAAUAGACGGUGUGAUUGACAACAGUCCUAGCCAAUGGUAGUGCCAUGUUUGGAUGCUUCUUAAUUCAAGUCCCAUUCCUGUGACGUCUUAACAAAGCCCAAAAACAAGAUGCAGUGAAGAAGAAGCAUACAUGUUUUAGGUUAGUGUCAGGGAAGGGUAAAACAGGGAUAUAGCAGGGGAAAAACUAUUUUUGAUAUUGAUGAUAGGUGCCUAUAAAAAGAUAGCUGCAGAUGUUGUCUUUCCUUUAAUGUUCCACUUUGCAGUGCAAAAAGGAGGAGCCCGCAUGGUUGUCAGCUGUCCCUAAUUUACUGGUACAAAUCACCUUGUUCAUUUCAUUUUUACUGCUAUAUUCUAGAGAAUCUCUAUGUUUUUGUCUUGCUGAGAUACCCUGUGAUCAAGGACCCAAUGCAUAAAGCAAUGGGCCUGUUAAAAAAGUGUGAGUUUGGAAAGUCACGCUGUGGGUUCCUUAAAGAUUGCUUGAGCCCCUACGUGUUUUAUCAAACAGCACUGUGUAUGGUCAGUAAUUGUUAUUAAGGCUGCCCACUGCGCAUGUAUGAUGGGUUUAGGCAACAAAAUGCACACUUGAGUGUUUUAUGGUUAAAAUAUGCCCUUUGUCUUCUGUGACAGGCAGACGCCAUUCAUGUCACUUACUACACGCAUUGGGUGCUAUCUGCAAUUUUUCUGCUGACAUUAGUGUAACUAUAGCCUAAUGCAGGGCUGUCCAACUAGAGGCCAGAUGUGGCCCUCAGGCCGGAUUUUUAUGGCCCCCAAUCUGCUACAAUGCUCCAUAGACUUCACUGUAUGACAUCAUUAGUUCUCUUUAAAGGAGAAAGAAUGCAUCCCCGAUUGAUUGCAUAAACUUACCUGAAACCCCGAGCCGGUGCUCCUAUUAGUAGAAAACUGCAUUGGCCCCAGGUUCUUCCAGCAAGCAUCACAAAACGGCUUCUUCUUUCUCCUUUCGGCUGUGCAUGCGCAGUAUACAAACCAUGAAGAGUGAAAAGCCGAACUUUAGCUAAAAAGUCAUCUAUUCCGGUCUACUGCGCGUUUGUCUGCCCUGGGAAAUCUGAAGAAAUAAGAAGCUGGAAGAGGAUCGUUUUGCUGUGCUGGAAGUAACCCGGUCCGGUGCAGUUUUCUACCGAUAGGAGCACCGGCCAGGGGUUUCAGGUAAGUAUAUACAAACCCCUGGGGGGUGCCUAACAUUUGGCACCACCCAAGUAGAAGAAGACUUUCCUUCGCCUUCAAUCCGGUCCUUGAACAUGUUGUAUGAGCAAACACUGGCCCACUACAUGUAAUAAGUUGGACAGCACUAACCUAAGGUAUCUCCUUUCCCUCCAUGUUAUUUCUUAGAUUUGAAAAUCUGCUUAUACAGUGUUAUUGCAUGUGGCUAUUUACCUCUGUUCAUGUUGAUAUAAAUAUGAAUUUAUUGUUGUUUGCUGCACAAAGUGGCAGACCACAUUUACAGAACCUAAUAAUGUUGCCAAAUAAAUAUUUUUUUUAAAGACAAUCAUUGUUUGUUUUUUUACAGGUAUUUUAUCAAUAUUAAUAAAUUAUCACUUACAGCGGAAAGCAUGCUAUAGUGAGACCUGCAUACCAGAAUAAUUGAAUGAUGUUAUCUUGGCAGGAAAAGUAUGAAGCAUUUUAGCGUAAACCGCCAUGUGUGACGCUAGCCUAAGAGAAUGAAUUCUAAUUUAAAAAAAAAAAAAGUUUUGCAGUACAAUACAACUUUUUUGAUUUACUAAUACUAAUUUGCAGGUGUGUACUGUUUUUCAUGGUUUGUAUCUGUGUUCAUAUCGUUAGAGCUACAUUAGAUCAGCCGGAGCGUAAGAGCUGCCGCAAUAUCACAGACCGCAUUUUAUAUCCCUUUCUGUGUUAGAGACAAUAUUAAUAUGGUUCAUAAAAUAAUAGGAAGUGCUGAAAACAUUUUACUUUAUAAAGUCAUAAGAUUGCUUUCCUUCUCUUCUGUUUUUUUUUUUAUAUAUAUAUAUAUAUAUAUAUACCAAAAUGAAAAGGCACAGCCAACAGUGAGGUUAAACAGGGUAAUGUGAGCACUUGGUUUUUAGAAUAUUUCUCAUUCCAAUUUUUUUACUUCUGAAACUACCAGUGUCCAAUGCUGUUAUUGUACAUUAGCAAGCUCCGAACAGUGAGACCUUCACAAAAACAACACAUUUUAGAUAUGUAAAAGCAAGUUACAGCAUACGUACAUCAUAUUCUUCAUAUAUUAUACACAAUGACAUAGUUUCCUUACUCUUAUUAUCAUGUUAUCUCUAUAGUACUGGCAUAUCCUGCGGCACUUAACCGAGAAGGUUUAACAUUUGUUUGUCUUUGUCCAAGCGGAUCUUGCAGUCCAGUUGUCCUCACGCAGAUGCACCACUUAGGGCUGCAAUCGGAAAUCCGAUUUUUUCCUCAAGGCUCCAACAAUGACAGGGCCCCCUACUGCUGUUCCACCUGUACUAUUCUCAUGGCUGCCCUCCAUACACUAAGGUCAAUUGCCGAAGCUGAUCAGCCAGUCAGUAGGAUCUUGGAAUGUGGGAUUAACCAGAGCCUCCUGUGGAAAGCCACAAACA